GGCUAUGGCUUAGUGACCUUCAGAAAAUCUCAAGAACCGUUGCCUCUGCAAAGAACAGAGAGAGAGAAGUCCAGAAACUGUGUUUCCUAGUGUUCUCCCCAACAGAGGGCUUGCAGAGAAGACAGGCAAACAAAUGUACUUGCCUGUGAGUUAGGAAGGUCCAGCUCUGGACAAGCGGAAGUGCUGCUCAUCUGCUCAGGAGGAUAGAAGUGUGGGUUUCAGGCGUUAUCAGAUUUCGCGCUGACUUCCAGACAUCUAGCUGUGAAUCAUCCGCACCAGUGAAAGAAGCAGCUGUAGUCAUCAGCUGCAGCUUCCUGAAGUCUCGGUGCCUAUACAGAUCUGAGAACAAACAGCAAAUGUGAAAGCUAGUGGCUUCCCUCACCUCCCCCCACCCCACCCCACCCCUGCUCCCCCCUGGCUCCUCCUGGCUCUUCUAGGAGUUUUAGAUGGAGCCAGUUCUUUGUAUUA
rnacentral:lncRNA from 1 species